CUUGUGCAUUUACUCUUUCCUGCUCUGUUUUCUUCACAUGUCAUUCCCCACUGAAAUUUGCCCAUUUUGGAUCUCAUUACCCUGAAGGUCCUGGAUUUGUUGGAAAGUUCCGUGUAAUUCCUGGAGUUCUAUGGUGACGUUGUCAAGUACAAAGCGCUGGCCUAGGAGCUACGACAUGGGAGUUCCAAGCCUGCUCUUUCUCGCACGAGCUGAGUGAGUGACUUUCACAAGUUGCUUCAACCUUCUGCAACUCAGUUUUGUUGUCUUGAUAUUCUCUGAGGCGCCUCCUUUCCAGAUAGUGCCUAUUAGGUGCUUCCUUGCAGAAAUGUCAUUUAAUUCUCACAGUGACUCUAUAAAGUAAAUACUUUCUGAUUCUGGAGACAAUUUUCCCACUUGUUUGAUCUAAACCAGGGCUCCCCAACCCCCAGGCUGCAGACACGUACCGGUCUGUGACUUGUUAGGAACUGGGCUGCAUAGGAGGAGGUGAGCUGCGAGCACACAUUACUGCCUGAGCUCCCACUCUGUCAGAUCCACUGCGGCAUUAGAUUCUCACAGAAGCACGUGCUUUCUUGUGAACUGCGCAUGCGAGGGAUCUAGGUUGCUUGUUCCUUAUGAGAAUCUAAUGCUUGAUGAUCUGAGAUGGAAUAGUUUCAUCCCCAAACCAUCCCCCCGCCAAUCCCCCAUCAUGGAAAAAUUGUCUUCCAUAAAACCAAUCCCUGGUGCCAAAAAGGUUGGGGACUGCUGGUCUAAACCAUUUUGGAUUCUAAAGGUAACAUUUUCAGUUCACUGUGUCUAUGCUUGAGAUGUAUUUAAUCCUACAUUAACAGAUAUUUAUUGAAUGCUUAGCCUGGGAGAGGAGGGAGGUGGGCCUUGAGAGCCCCUCAAAGUCAUGCUCCUCCAGCUGUUCCUCCUAUGAAGAGUCACUCUUUGUAGCCAGAGUGUGAAGAGCUGGGAACGUGUUUAUAGCCAGGACUAAGAGCUGGUCAUGGACUCUGAAACAAGAGGAAACUAAAAGUAAUGAGUUCUUUGAUCCUUGAAGAGGUUCCCUUAAAGUUGGGAUGAACCCUGGCUGAAAAGAAUGUUUCUAAAAGAGAUUCAGGGUUUCUCUUCCAAAGAUUUGAAGACUUUUGUAAAUUAUUACAGUCAUUUGAGAUUGUUUAAAACUUCCUUGUUGGGACAGAGGGAAAUGGAUGAUGAGCUCUCAUGCCUCCAAAGGUGUUUUACAAGUUACAGUAUCACUGUGAUGCUGUUCUAAGAACGGCCACUUCUAAAUUCUUCUUUCUAAGCUCAAAUAGAAGAAAGUUCUCCCUUCACUUCUCUUGUCCACAUGUGAAAUGAAUAAUGCCUGUUUCCUGUCAUUCUGUUAUUAACUUCAUUCUCAGUAAAGGGAAGCAGGCCCAGUGGCCACUGGAAAAGAAGAAAACCCAAGAAAUACUUGAAAGCUUACGUUUCUACCCUAUUAACAAGGCCAACUCUAGGGUGGGGGAAGUGGUUUUAUUUUUAUGGUAAUUUAGCUAGCAACUAUGUGAGGUUGGCUUGCGUUUUUAUUGUUGGUUUUAUUUUAGUCUGCACGACCAGUUGGAUCAUUUAAGAACCUCAAAAGUUGCCAAACGUUGCAUUUUCAUAUCUACCAGCAUAGAUGGAUUUAAUAAUUGAAUGCUGAAACUCAAUUGUAGAGAUAAUUUGUGAACUCUUAAUUUGUUUAUCAAAAAUAUAGGUAGAGUGCAAUGACAGAAUUUUUUUUGAGGGGGAGGGUGGGAUCAAGCUUGAAGAUGCAGUUACAUUACUCUGCAGCUCUACCCUGAGCACAAGUACACGAAUAUGAGAUCUGUUAUAUUAGUACUGUGUUAAUAGUGUCAUUGGCAUUUUAAACACCAGAAAUAUCAAAGCAAAACUAAAUUCCUGAAAGUAAAGAGUAAUUGAGGCCAGGUGCAGUGGCUCACACCUGUAAUCCCAGCACUUUGGGAGGCCGAGGCGGGCGGAUCAUGAGGUCAAGAGAUCGAGACCAUCCUUGCCAACAUGGUGAAACCUGUCUUUACUAAAAAUACAAAAAAUUAGUUGGGCGUGGUGUCGGGCGCCUGUA
rnacentral:lncRNA from 1 species